rnacentral:rRNA from 1 species
UACAGAGGGUGCGAGCGUUAAUCGGAAUUAUUGGGCGUAAAGCGCGCGUAGGCGGCUACUUAAGUCGGAUGUGAAAGCCCCUGGCUCAACUGGGGAAGUGCACCCGAAACUGAGCAGCUAGAGUACGAAAGAGGGUCGCGGAAUUCCCGGUGUAGAGGUGAAAUUCGUAGAUAUCGGGAGGAACACCGGUGGCGAAGGCGGCGACCUGGGUCGAUACUGACGCUGAGGCGCGAAAGCGUGGGGAGCAAACAGG